AGAGAGAGACAUGCGCGCAUAUCAAUAAGCGGAGGAAAGAAACUAACAAGGAUUCCCUUAGUAACGGCGAGUGAAGCGGGAAGAGCUCAAAUUUGAAAUCUUCAAGGUUUUACCUUGACGAAUUGUAGUUUAAAGAAGUGUUUUCUGCUGAAGUUUUGGUAAAAGUUCUUUGGAAUAGGACAUCAUAGAGGGUGAGAAUCCCGUAUUUGACCAUUAUUUUCAGCUUUGUGAUACACUUUCAAAGAGUCGGAUUGUUUGGGAAUGCAGUCCAAAAUGGGUGGUAAAUUUCAUCUAAAGCUAAAUAUUGGCGAGAGACCGAUAGCGAACAAGUACCGUGAGGGAAAGAUGAAAAGAACAUUUGAAAAGAGAGUUAAACAGUACGUGAAAUUGUCAAAAGGGAAGCGUUUGACACCAGUGUUGUUUUCUCGAAAAUCAAUUAAAAAUGGCUCGAUUUUGUAUUGUUGAGACCUUAAAAGCUCACUGUACAUUUUUCGUGUCUUUUUUAAUGCACUUUUCGUUUAACAAGUUAACAUCAGUUUCUUUUGUUGUAAAAGGGUCAUUGGAAGGUGGCUUUCUUUUCGGAGAAAGUGUUUAUAGCCUUUGGCCUCUGCAAUCGGAGAGACUGAGGUCUGCAGCGUAGACUCUUCGGGGUUAGAUACAUUUGUGCUAAGUUAUAGCUUUUUAUAGACAACUUGUUGACUAUAAUUAGUCUUGUAGCUUACUCGCUUAUGCUAUUUUACCUACGCUUAGGAUGUUGAAGAUGUAGCACAUCAU
rnacentral:rRNA from 1 species